rnacentral:rRNA from 1 species
GAUGAACGCUAGCGGCAGGCUUAAUACAUGCAAGUUGAGGGGCAGCAUGAUAUACGCGAGUAUAUUGAUGGCGACCGGCGGACGGGUGAGUAAUAGGUAGGAGACCUACCUCAUACAGGGGGAUAGCAUAGAGAAAUCUGUGGUAAUACCCCAUGAGGUUAUAUGAAUAGAGGCAUAUAAUCAAAGCAUAAGCGAUUAUGCGGUAUGAGAGGGGCCUACUGACCAUUAGCUAGUUGGUGAGGUAAGGGCUCACCAAGGCGAAGAUGGUUAGGGGUUUUGAGAGAGAGACCCCCCACAUUGGAACUGAGAGACGGUCCAGACUCCUACGGGAGGCAGCAGUAGGGAAUAUUGGGGCAAUGGGCGAAAGCCUGACCCAGCCAUGCCGCGUGAAGGAAGACGGCCUUAUGGGUUGUAAACUUCUUUACUACGCGAAUAGAGGUUAGUACGAGAUACUAAUAGGAAGGUAGUGUAGUAAAAAGGCACCGGCUAACUCCGU